rnacentral:rRNA from 1 species
CCUACGGGUGGCAGCAGUGGGGAAUAUUGGGCAAUGGGCGCAAGUCUGACCCAGCAACGCCGCGUGAAGGAAGAAGGCUUUCGGGUUGUAAACUUCUUUUAAGAGGGAAGAGCAGAAGACGGUACCUCUUGAAUAAGCCACGGCUACCUACGUGCCAUCAGCCGCGGUAAUCCGUAGGUGGCAAGCGUUGUCCGGAUUUCCUGGGUGUCACGGGCGUGUAGCCGGGCUGACAAGUCAGAUGUGAAAGUCCGGGGCGCAACCCCGGACGUGGAUUUGAAAAUGUUGGUCUUGAGUAUCGGAGAGGCAGGCGGAAUUCCGAGGGUAGCGGUGAAAUGCGUAGAUAUUAGGAGGAACACCAGUGGCGAAGGCGGCCUGCUGGACGACAACUGACGGUGAGGCGCGAAAGCGUGGGGAGCAAACAGGAGUAGAUACCCUAGUAGUC